rnacentral:rRNA from 1 species
CAGUAGCCGCGGGAAUACGGAGGGAGCUAGCGUUAUUCGGAAUUACUGGGCGUAAAGCGCACGUAGGCGGCUUUGUAAGUAAGAGGUGAAAGCCUGGUGCUCAACACCAGAACUGCCUUUUAGACUGCAUCGCUUGAAUCAUGGAGAGGUCAGUGGAAUUCCGAGUGUAGAGGUGAAAUUCGUAGAUAUUCGGAAGAACACCAGCGGCGAAGGCGGCUGACUGGACAUGUAUUGACGCUGAGGUGCGAAAGCGUGGGGAGCAAACAGGAUUAGAUACCCCAGUAGUCCCUGUCUCUUAUAC